rnacentral:rRNA from 1 species
CUGUAAGCCUGCGAAGGUGGCCUGUGAGGGUUGCUGGAGGUAUCAGAAGUGCGAAUGCUGACAUAAGUAACGAUAAAGCGGGUGAAAAGCCCGCUCGCCGGAAGACCAAGGGUUCCUGUCCAACGUUAAUCGGGGCAGGGUGAGUCGACCCCUAAGGCGAGGCCGAAAGGCGUAGUCGAUGGGAAACGGGUUAAUAUUCCCGUACUUGGUGUUACUGCGAAGGGGGGACGGAGAAGGCUAUGUUGGCCGGGCGACGGUUGUCCCGGUUUAAGCGUGUAGGUGUGUGUUCCAGGUAAAUCCGGUUCACUUUAACACUGAGGCGUGACGACGAGGCACUACGGUGCUGAAGCAACAAAUGCCCUGCUUCCAGGAAAAGCCUCUAAGCAUCAGGUAACAUCAAAUCGUACCCCAAACCGACACAGGUGGUCAGGUAGAGAAUACCAAGGCGCUUGAGAGAACUCGGGUGAAGGAACUAGGCAAAAUGGUGCCGUAACUUCGGGAGAAGGCACGCUGACACGUAGGUGAAGUGAUUUACUCAUGGAGCUGAAGUCAGUCGAAGAUACCAGCUGGCUGCAACUGUUUAUUAAAAACACAGCACUGUGCAAACACGAAAGUGGACGUAUACGGUGUGACGCCUGCCCGGUGCCGGAAGGUUAAUUGAUGGGGUCAGCGCAAGCGAAGCUCCUGAUCGAAGCCCCGGUAAACGGCGGCCGUAACUAUAACGGUCCUAAGGUAGCGAAAUUCCUUGUCGGGUAAGUUCCGACCUGCACGAAUGGCGUAAUGAUGGCCAGGCUGUCUCCACCCGAGACUCAGUGAAAUUGAACUCGCUGUGAAGAUGCAGUGUACCCGCGGCAAGACGGAAAGACCCCGUGAACCUUUACUAUAGCUUGACACUGAACAUUGAGCCUUGAUGUGUAGGAUAGGUGGGAGGCUUUGAAGUGUGGACGCCAGUCUGCAUGGAGCCGACCUUGAAAUACCACCCUUUAAUGUUUGAUGUUCUAACGUGGACCCGUUACCCGGGUUGCGGACAGUGUCUGGUGGGUAGUUUGACUGGGGCGGUCUCCUCCUAAAGAGUAACGGAGGAGCACGAAGGUUGGCUAAUCCUGGUCGGACAUCAGGAGGUUAGUGCAAUGGCAUAAGCCAGCUUGACUGCGAGCGUGACGGCGCGAGCAGGUGCGAAAGCAGGUCAUAGUGAUCCGGUGGUUCUGAAUGGAAGGGCCAUCGCUCAACGGAUAAAAGGUACUCCGGGGAUAACAGGCUGAUACCGCCCAAGAGUUCAUAUCGACGGCGGUGUUUGGCACCUCGAUGUCGGCUCAUCACAUCCUGGGGCUGAAGUAGGUCCCAAGGGUAUGGCUGUUCGCCAUUUAAAGUGGUACGCGAGCUGGGUUUAGAACGUCGUGAGACAGUUCGGUCCCUAUCUGCCGUGG